rnacentral:tRNA from 1 species
GUAGCUUAGUUGGUAGAGCACCUGACUUUUAAUCAGGUUGUCACAGAGUGCCGGUCCGGG